GGAAACGUAAAGCCCUUUCGGAGAAC
rnacentral:piRNA from 1 species